rnacentral:rRNA from 1 species
AUCAUGGCUCAGAUUGAACGCUGGCGGCAGGCCUAACACAUGCAAGUCGAGCGGUAGCACAGAGAGCUUGCUCUCGGGUGACGAGCGGCGGACGGGUGAGUAAUGUCUGGGAAACUGCCUGAUGGAGGGGGAUAACUACUGGAAACGGUAGCUAAUACCGCAUAAUGUCGCAAGACCAAAGAGGGGGACCUUCGGGCCUCUUGCCAUCAGAUGUGCCCAGAUGGGAUUAGCUAGUAGGUGGGGUAACGGCUCACCUAGGCGACGAUCCCUAGCUGGUCUGAGAGGAUGACCAGCCACACUGGAACUGAGACACGGUCCAGACUCCUACGGGAGGCAGCAGUGGGGAAUAUUGCACAAUGGGCGCAAGCCUGAUGCAGCCAUGCCGCGUGUAUGAAGAAGGCCUUCGGGUUGUAAAGUACUUUCAGCGGGGAGGAAGGCGAUAAGGUUAAUAACCUUGUCGAUUGACGUUACCCGCAGAAGAAGCACCGGCUAACUCCGUGCCAGCAGCCGCGGUAAUACGGAGGGUGCAAGCGUUAAUCGGAAUUACUGGGCGUAAAGCGCACGCAGGCGGUCUGUCAAGUCGGAUGUGAAAUCCCCGGGCUCAACCUGGGAACUGCAUUCGAAACUGGCAGGCUAGAGUCUUGUAGAGGGGGGUAGAAUUCCAGGUGUAGCGGUGAAAUGCGUAGAGAUCUGGAGGAAUACCGGUGGCGAAGGCGGCCCCCUGGACAAAGACUGACGCUCAGGUGCGAAAGCGUGGGGAGCAAACAGGAUUAGAUACCCUGGUAGUCCACGCCGUAAACGAUGUCGACUUGGAGGUUGUGCCCUUGAGGCGUGGCUUCCGGAGCUAACGCGUUAAGUCGACCGCCUGGGGAGUACGGCCGCAAGGUUAAAACUCAAAUGAAUUGACGGGGGCCCGCACAAGCGGUGGAGCAUGUGGUUUAAUUCGAUGCAACGCGAAGAACCUUACCUACUCUUGACAUCCAGAGAACUUUCCAGAGAUGGAUUGGUGCCUUCGGGAACUCUGAGACAGGUGCUGCAUGGCUGUCGUCAGCUCGUGUUGUGAAAUGUUGGGUUAAGUCCCGCAACGAGCGCAACCCUUAUCCUUUGUUGCCAGCGGUCCGGCCGGGAACUCAAAGGAGACUGCCAGUGAUAAACUGGAGGAAGGUGGGGAUGACGUCAAGUCAUCAUGGCCCUUACGAGUAGGGCUACACACGUGCUACAAUGGCGCAUACAAAGAGAAGCGACCUCGCGAGAGCAAGCGGACCUCAUAAAGUGCGUCGUAGUCCGGAUUGGAGUCUGCAACUCGACUCCAUGAAGUCGGAAUCGCUAGUAAUCGUAGAUCAGAAUGCUACGGUGAAUACGUUCCCGGGCCUUGUACACACCGCCCGUCACACCAUGGGAGUGGGUUGCAAAAGAAGUAGGUAGCUUAACCUUCGGGAGGGCGCUUACCACUUUGUGAUUCAUGACUGGGGUGAAGUCGUAACAAGGUAACCGUAAAUCGAAUUCCCGC